rnacentral:rRNA from 1 species
CCUUCGGGAGGCAGCAGUGGGGAAUAUUGGGCAAUGGAGGCAACUCUUACCCAGCAAUGCCGCGUGAAUGAAGAAGGUCUUCGGAUUGUAAAGUUCUUUAAUUGGGGACGAAAAAAAUGACGGUACCCAAGGAAUAAGCUCCGGCUAACUACGUGCCAGCAGCCGCGGUUAUACGUAGGGGGCAAGCGUCGUUCGGAAUGACUGGUCGUAAAGGGUGUGUAGGCGGUGUAGUAAGUUAGAAGUGAAAUACCUAGGGUUUAACUCAGGUGCUGCUUCUAAAACUGCUAUACUUGAGUGCAGUAGAGGAGGGUGGAAUGCGUAGUGUAGCGGUGGAAUGCGUAGAUAUUAGGAAGAACAUCAGUGGCGAAGGCGACUUUCUGGACUGUAACUGACGCUGAGGCACGAAAGUGUGGGGAGCAAACAGGAUUAGAUACCCUAGUAGUC